AUUGAACGCUGGCGGCGUGCCUAACACAUGCAAGUCGAGCGGUAACAGGUGUAGCAAUACAUGCUGACGAGCGGCGAACGGGUGAGUAAUGCUUCGGAAUCUACCUUAUGGUGGGGAAUAACUAGCCGAAAGGUUAGCUAAUACCGCAUACGUCCUACGGGAGAAAGCAGGGGAUCGCAAGACCUUGCGCCAACAGAUGAGCCGAAGUUGGAUUAGCUAGUUGGUAGGGUAACGGCCUACCAAGGCGACGAUCCGUAGCUGGUCUGAGAGGACAGGCGGCAAUAGUGGGACUGGGACAGGGCGCGGACUCCGACGGGAGGCAGCAGUGGGGAGUAUUGGAAAAUGGCGGAAACCCUGAUUCAGCGACGCCGAGUGUGUGAAGAAGGCGUGCGGGUUGUAAAGCACUUUUAGUGGGGAUGAAAUGUGCAGGGUUAAUACCUCUGCAUUUUGGCCUAACCCACAGAAAAAGCACCGGCUAACUCUGUGCCAGCAGCCGCCGUAA
rnacentral:rRNA from 1 species